AAAUUGAAGAGUUUGAUCAUGGCUCAGAUUGAACGCUGGUGGCGCCAGGCCUAACACAGGCAAGUCGAACGGUAACAGGAAGCUUGCUUCUUUGCUGACGAGUGGCGGACGGGUGAGUAAUGUCUGGGAAACUGCCUGAUGGAGGGGGAUAACUACUGGAAACGGUAGCUAAUACCGCAUAACGUCG
rnacentral:rRNA from 1 species